rnacentral:rRNA from 1 species
GAACGCCUCUAAGUCAGAAUCCAUGCUGGAAAGCAAUGUGUCGAUCAAUAAUACGUGAAAAGAGUUAGACGCUUCUGUGUCUAGAUUCAGCAAGGCAGUUUAAGCUUAGGGCUAGAAGGGUCCUGACUUUUCUGCGAAUAGUAAUUUCGAAUAUUAUUGGCGCAAAUCGUUUGUAGACGACUUAAUUGGGAUCGGGUACUGUAAGCGUGAGAGUA